CUCUAUGUGGCUUUGUCCCCUUUUACAGGCAGGGGAGGGGCAGGGUGAGAAGCAGGAGCGUUUGCAGCCCCUCGGUGCACCGUGCCACAUCCCUGCAACCCCCAGUUCUUAGGGGCUCCCACCCAACACCCACGGUCAACACCGUCAUCCCAUGAGCAUCCCAAAAGGAGAGGACCACGUCAGGAUGGAGCCCCAGGAACCAGAGGUGGUGGCAGCUGCUGGAGGAUGAUGUGUUCAACCCUCAGGUGGGAUUUUGGGGAUCUCACUGCCACCACAGAGCAACCGAGGAAGCCUCUGGCCACCUCUCCGAGCAUCAGGCUGGUGGAAAACCUGCUUGGCCAUGGCUGCAGAGGCAGAGCUGUGCUCCCCGGCGUGCAAGGGCAGGUCCUGAGCCUCUGCCAAGCAUUCAGUAGGAUUUGGGGUUUGUACCGGGAGCAAGGUGUUCCCCCAUCUGUGAAUCCUUCUGGCUCCCUCACCCUGAACAACAAUGUCCAGUGGCCUCAGUGGGACCCCACACCCAGGGACCUGGGGGUCUCCCAGUGGGGGUCCCUCCUAGGCCACCGACUUUUGAUUUUCCACUUCUUUUUCUGUAGAUUUAUUUUUUUCUUUUCUGCUGUAGACAUUCUUUAUGGGAUCUCAGGGAAGAUUGCUGCACUCAGCAAGACAAAUCCUCCUCCUUCUUUCCAGGUGUAAUUCUGGGACCUGUCUGGCCAGAAAAAUCUGUUUUUCCCUCCACAGGGCAAGCAUGGGGAGGAGCUGGGGUGAGACAGGAGAAGCACCUGAGCCAGUUCUCACCGGUGUGGCAAGACUCUGUUGUCCAACCUCCCACCCCGACUGCUUCUGCCCUCGUUCCUGUCCACGUGUCCCUCUGAGCCCGGUGGGAUGGAGGUUGCUCACCCGGUCAGAUGAUUGAUGCCUCUCCACGCCGGUGGGGAUGGGGUUUGCGGUUGAAUUGCUACAGCUGAUGCCUGCAGCCACUUCUGCUUUCGGGCAGGAGGGGCCGUACCCCUCAGGGCACCCAGCCUGGGCUCAGCACCGGAGCUGUCUUUUGUUCGAUUUCGCAAGAAAAAGGAUUUUCCCAAAGCUCCUGCUCUCCUUAAUGCUCCUGUGUGAGCUUCGCCCCAGAUGAAGGCAGAGGGAGUGGUGGUGUAGAAGAGAUGAUGGCCAAGAUGUUGCUCAGCAGCUUCUGCGACCACAGCUACAGCCCUCUCUCGAUUGCUUCACCAAGUCAGCAAUUCUGAGGAAAAAAGCGUGGUUUUUUUGCCCUGUGACUAUGAGGAAGAUCUUGCAGCUAGGAGACAAUGGAACACAGACUGCCACGUCCAGAGGAAAGGCUCGCGUGGACAAGGAGAGGACAGGCUGUUCCCUGCGGCAAGGCUCGCAGGGCAGUGAGAGCGAGGGAAGGGGAAGAAAGCAAAAGGCAUCCAAGUGACUAAUCUGUUCCCUACAGCUGUCCAGCCACUUCUGCUCCCUGGAGGACAGCGGGAGCUGGGAUGCUCCUUGUUGGGAUGCUCGGUAUUUGCCGGAGCAAGAUCCCCUGAGCAUCUGCCAUGUGUGGGGAGGAGGGCUGGAGAGGACCACCCAAAACCUGGCAAGCAGACACGGGAUGCUUGGGGACCCCAAGAGCACACAGCACCGGAGCAGUCCUGGGCAAGUCCAAGCUGGGCCACCUCCUGCUGCUGGCCAGUGUUUGGGGACACUGAGUGGUCCCUCGUUGUGCUGGGAAGCUGGAUGCUCCCCUGCUGCCUAUGGCUGUGGUGAUGGGCUGGUGCCCAGCAGCACCUUGGUGUGCUAAGAGUUAAGCUGGAAGAGGGAGAAGAGACCUUUGUCCAGCUGCCCCUGCACCUUAUCUGCACCGGGGAAAGCACAGCCGAGGUGAAGUCAAUACAGGAACAAGUUACAGAAACCAUAUGCUGGUCAGUGGCACAAUCAGUGUUUCUGAGUGAGGCAGAUAGUUUCUUUUAUUGCAGACCACAAGGCUGAGCCGCAAAGUUUACAACCACAUCUGAUUUUUCCAGCACUCUCGGACCCCACCCUGAAGUCUGCUCCAGUUUGGGAAGGGUGCCCUGGCCACGGGAACCCCGGCACCUCGGCCCCGACGCUGCAGGGCAUCGCUUCAGUGCCAGCCAGGAAAGCUGAGCGAAGGCACAGAUAAAAAUAACCCUUCUCUGUGCUUCCUUUUCUCGCUGCCUUCCCUGGGUGUCUCAGGAUGCAUCACGCAUGACCCACGAUUGCUCAUGCUUUCUCCCGCAUCCCUUGCAUCGUCAGCAAGUCACAUGCCCCGUGGUGCCUCCCGGGGAGCCCUGUGGCCAGCAGCUGCCCCCCUUCCCCUGGGCCCCCGAAGUCCCCUGGACCCCCCACCCUCCGAGCCAGCCCAGCCUGUGCCCAGUGGCUGCAGGGCUCGGCAGCACGCAGCUGGUUUGCCCUCUCUUGCUUCGAGCACCCACUGACCGCAUUGUCUUUGUGAGUGCCCUGGGCAUCAAAGGAAAAUUAACGGGAAAUCACUGUUUUUUUCUGAGAGUUUUGUGGCACAGAAAGAGCCCCAGGGUCUCUCCAGUUUCCUCAUUACCUUCUUGUUUACCAGCAUCAGCUCAGCCUGCGGAAGUGACACAUUUCUCCCCAGCCCCAGCCCUGCCCCUGCCCACAGCCGUCGCCUCAGGCUGGCGGGGAGCUCGGGGGGGAUGCACACAGCCACCUUGGGGGACUUGCUGCUCUACCUGGGCAAAGUGUCCCCUUCUGCCCAUGUGGAAAUCCCAGCUAAGGACCACAGAGGCUGACCUUUCAGAUCCAGCGUCUCCUGAACCACCAAGGCUCCCUCCAGAGAGGGGAAACUCCAGUAGCACCGGGCACGCAGCCCUGGCAGUGCCGUGGGUGCACAGAUGCUUUUAGCUCGCUGCGGGGGGAGGGCAAGGUCCAGGGAAGGGGGAUUUAACACCCCAGUGCAACCCAGCUGAGAUCUGCAGGAUUGCUGCUGUGCUAAUCAACAUGAGCACGGCAGGUUUUGCUUUAUUAAAGCUUUUAUUGACCCGU